GAGCUAAUAGUCUAAUGGUUAAGACAAUUACCUUUUAAGUAAUUCAUAUUGGUUCAAUUCCAAUUUAGCUCA
rnacentral:tRNA from 1 species